rnacentral:rRNA from 1 species
UACGAAGGGGGCUAGCGUUGCUCGGAAUCACUGGGCGUAAAGGGCGCGUAGGCGGCCGAUCAAGUCGGGGGUGAAAGCCUGUGGCUCAACCACAGAAUUGCCUUCGAUACUGUUUGGCUUGAGACCGGAAGAGGUAAGUGGAACUGCGAGUGUAGAGGUGAAAUUCGUAGAUAUUCGCAAGAACACCAGUGGCGAAGGCGGCUUACUGGUCCGGUACUGACGCUGAGAUGCGAAAGCGUGGGGAGCAAACAGG